GAAGGUUAGCAAAAUGUGUGAAUUAUGUUGGAGCAGCUACCGUUGAGUAUUUGUACAGUAUGGACACUGGAGAGUAUUACUUCUUGGAGCUCAAUCCUCGGUUGCAGGUGGAGCACCCUGUCACUGAGUGGAUUGCUGAAAUAAAUUUGCCAGCAGCCCAGGUAGCUGUUGGGAUGGGAAUUCCUCUCUGGCAUAUUCCUGAGAUAAGGCGAUUUUAUGGAAUGGAACAUGGUGGAGGAUAUGAUGCAUGGAGGAAAACUUCAGUGGUUGCUACCCCUUUCGAUUUUGACCAGGCAGAGUCUACAAGGCCAAAAGGUCAUUGUGUCGCUGUGCGUGUAACAAGUGAGGAUCCAGAUGAUGGUUUUAAGCCUACAAGUGGAAAAGUACAGGAGCUAAGUUUCAAAAGCAAGCCAAAUGUGUGGGCUUACUUCUCUGUUAAGUCUGGUGGAGGCAUUCAUGAAUUCUCAGAUUCUCAAUUUGGACAUGUUUUUGCAUUUGGGGAGUCAAGAGCUUUGGCUAUAGCAAAUAUGGUCCUUGGGCUGAAAGAAAUUCAAAUUCGAGGAGAGAUUCAUACUAAUGUUGACUACUCAGUUGACCUUCUACACGCUUCAGAUUAUAGGGACAACAAAAUCCACACAGGUUGGUUGGACAGUAGAAUUGCAAUGCGGGUUAGAGCAGAAAGGCCCC
rnacentral:misc_RNA from 1 species